CGAACUGUAAAUAAUCUCCUGUAAAAAGAAUGUUUAUUAUUUUUGUUUUUGUUUGAACUGGCCAGCCUAAGGGAAACUAACACCAAAUUAUAUCUGUGUCAGUCAAGGGAGGUUUUCUUGUCCUUUGCAUCUUUUUCUUCCCCUGUUUCAAUCCUCAGGACCUAGAAACGGCCCAUGGUGUGGGAAAGCAGAAAUGAGAGCUUCAGAUGGAAAAAAAAAAAAAAGAAGAAACUGACCCUAUCACCUUCUCUACUGUGGCAGCCAGCCUGGAAGCAGGCCCACUUUGAAAAUUCAAGACCUUAUACUAUAGACUUUUUAAAAAAAAUUUAACCUGAAGGUACCUGUUUCUGAGCCUAAUGGUUUGGAAUUUCUUUGUAUUUUUAUCUUCCGGAUCAGUGGAAAGCUAAGCAAGAGGUGUGUAUUAACCCCCUCCUCAGGAAGUCAAUGUUAAGUCCACCAUGCUCCUCAAUUUGGCUGAAUUUAUGCUCCGGUUCUGAAGGUAACUUUAAAUUUCUUAAUUUCUCUGAAGUGUACCAGAUUUCUUCCUUCACAAUCUUCUUAGUGAUUUUCUUUUUGUUGUUGUUGUUCUAAUAGCCUUCUAAUGUAUCUCCUACUUUUUCUAAUACAUUUUUAAAGUUCUACCCAGAUAAAUUUUCCAUAACACUGCUUUGCCUGUACCAUUCUUUCCUGAGAGAUUAAGUGAUACAACAUAUAUGAAUAAGAAUUUUAAUGCAUUUAAAUUGUCACUGUGCUUAAAAUCCUGCAAUUGUUCCCAAUGCCUAGAAACGUUUCCUACUGUUGACCUAUAAGCUAGGAAAGGUGAUAAAAAUUUCCUGGAGUGAACCCACUUCUUGAUUGUCUCUUAGGUUUUGUUGCAGUUGUUCAGAUUAUUUCCCCACCCUCACAUCCAUGUCUAGGAAUUUAGAUUAUUUGCUUGUUGAUACUGAAACUAAGGUUUGGAAAUAUGGGUUAAAAACAAACCUCUAAAUACUGAAGAUGAACUCUGUAUCCCUCUACUCUGCCUUUUACCUAAUUCUCUACUAUUUUCUUCUCUAGAGAGGCUGGUUUUUUGUUCUCUUCCAGACACAUUUCUAAAACAUUCUACACCAUCUUCCUGCAUGGAUUUCACUCUUAAGUUUCACUUCUUAAUUUACCCUAGUCCUUCUUGUUCUUUAAACAACUGCAUACUCUUUACCUUGUAGUCCCUGUGGAGUUUU
rnacentral:lncRNA from 1 species